rnacentral:rRNA from 1 species
AUUGAACGCUGGCGGAAUGCUUUACACAUGCAAGUCGAACGGCAGCACGGACUUCGGCCUGGUGGCGAGUGGCGAACGGGUGAGUAAUACAUCGGAACGUGCCCAGUCGUGGGGGAUAACGUAGCGAAAGCUACGCUAAUACCGCAUACGAUCUAAGGAUGAAAGCGGGGGAUCGCAAGACCUCGCGCGCUUGGGGCGGCCGAUGGCAGAUUAGGUAGUUGGUAGGGUAAAGGCCUACCAAGCCGACGAUCUGUAGCUGGUCUGAGAGGACGACCAGCCACACUGGGACUGAGACACGGCCCAGACUCCUACGGGAGGCAGCAGUGGGGAAUUUUGGACAAUGGACGCAAGUCUGAUCCAGCCAUUCCGCGUGCAGGAUGAAGGCCCUCGGGUUGUAAACUGCUUUUGUACAGAGCGAAAAGGCUCUGGUUAAUACCUGGAGCUCAUGACGGUACUGUAAGAAUAAGCACCGGCUAACUACGUGCCAGCCGCCGCGGUAA